UACGUAGGGGGCUAGCGUUAUCCGGAAUUACUGGGCGUAAAGGGUGCGUAGGUGGUUUGUUAAGUCUGCUGUGAAAGCCCCGGGCUCAACCUGGGAAUGGCAGUGGAUACUGGCAAGCUAGAGUGCGGUAGAGGGGUGUGGAAUUCCCGGUGUAGCGGUGAAAUGCGUAGAGAUCGGGAGGAACACCAGUGGCGAAGGCGGCACCCUGGACCAGCACUGACACUGAGGCACGAAAGCGUGGGGAGCAAACAGG
rnacentral:rRNA from 1 species